GUGGAUUAGAUACCCUGGUAGUCCACGCCCUAAACGAUGUCAACUAGGUGUUGGGUGGGUAAAACCAUUUAGUACCGGAGCUAACGCGUGAAGUUGACCGCCUGGGGAGUACGGCCGCAAGGUUAAAACUCAAAGGAAUUGACGGGGACCCGCACAAGCGGUGGAUGAUGUGGAUUAAUUCGAUGCAACGCGAAAAACCUUACCUACCCUUGACAUGUCCAGAAGCCCGAAGAGAUUUGGGUGUGCCCGAAAGGGAGCUGGAACACAGGUGCUGCACGGCCGUCGCCAACU
rnacentral:rRNA from 1 species